AACGAACGCUGGCGGCAUGCCUAACACAUGCAAGUCGAACGAGACCUUCGGGUCUAGUGGCGCACGGGUGCGUAACGCGUGGGAACCUGCCCUUAGGUUCGGAAUAACUCCCCGAAUGGGGUGCUAAUACCGGAUAAUGUCUUCGGACCAAAGAUUUAUCGCCUUUGGUUGGGCCCGCGUUGGAUUAGCUAGUUGGUAGGGUAAAAGCCUACCAAGGCGACGAUCCAUAGCUGGUCUGAGAGGAUGAGCAGCCACACUGGGACUGGGACACGGCCCAGACUCCUACGGGAGGCAGCAGUGGGUAAUAUUGCACCGUGGGCGGAAGCCUGAUCCAGCACGGCCGCGUGAGCGAUGAAGGCCGUAAGGUUGUAAAGCUCUUUUACCCAGGAUGAUAAUGACAGUACCGGGAGAAUAAGCCCCGGCUAACUCCGUG
rnacentral:rRNA from 1 species